AUCAUGUGCCCUCGUUUGUUGUUGUUGUUGUUGUUGCCGUUUUCAAUCCCUUUAUUAUUCCUCGCCCCUUCCCGUUCCCCUCACUUACUUCGUUUCUAAUGUGCUACGAUCCCUUGGAGGAAAAUAUAUCAUUUUGAUUGGCAAUCAUUAUGAAUUUUUCAUGGCAUUUUGGAGAUGCAGAUCUUUUAAUGGUAAUAACUUUAAUUGAGGCCCUAAAUGGUUUUUUGAUGGCCCCGUCUGAUAUGAUUUUGCGGUCUUAUGUUCACGAUCAAAUGAUUAUGUUAAUUUCCAAUUUAGACAUUUUAUCUGCUCCUUAAUUUCACUUCAACUAGUAGAUUUUAUGUUCUUUAAAAUCAAGCAUUUCCUUCAUGCAGUACUAAACUCAGCAAAAAAAAGAAAUUCAGGACCCUGUCUUUCAAAGAUAAAUCGUAAAAAUCCAAAUAACUUCACAGAUCUUCAUUGUAAAGGGUUUAAACACUGUUUCCCAUGCUUGUUCAAUGAACCAUAAACAAUUAAUGAACAUGCACCUGUGUCGUUAAGACUCUAACAGCUUACAGAUGGUAGGCAAUUAAGGUCACAGUUAUGAAAACUUAGGACACUAAAGAGGCCUUUCUACGGACUCUGAAAAACACCAAAAGAAUGAUGCCUAGGGUCUCUGCUCAUCUGCGUGAACAUGCCUUAGGCAUGCUGCAAGGAGGCAUAAGGACUGCAGAUGUGGCCAGGGCAAUAACUUGCAAUGCCCGUACUGUGAGACACCCAAGACAGCGCUACAGGGAGACAGGACGGACAGCUGAUCGUCCUUGCAGUGACAGACCACGUGUAACAACACCUGCACAGGAUCGGUACAUCCGAACAUCACACCUGCGGGACAGGUACAGGAUGGCAACAACAACUGAUCGAGUUACACCAGGAACGCACAAUCCCUCCAUCAGUGCUCAGACUGUCCGCAAUAGGCUGAGAGAGGCUGGACUGAGGGCUUGUAGGCCUGUUGUAAGGGGUGAUGGUUGUGUUUAUCGUCGAAGGAAUGAGCGUUAUACCGAGACCUGUACUCUGGAGCGGGAUCGAUUUGGAGGUGGAGGGUCCGUCAUGGUCUGAGGCGGUGUAUCACAGCAUCAUCGGACUGAGCUUUUUGUCACUGCAGGCAAUCUCAACGCUGUGCAUUACAGGGAAGACAUCCUCUUCCCUCAUGUGGUCCCCUUCCUGCAGGCUCAUCCUGACAUGACCCUCCAGCAUGACAAUGCCACCAGCAAUACUGCUCGUUCUGUGUGUGAUUUCCUGCAAGACAGGAAUGUCAGUGUUGCCAAUGCCAACAAAGAGCCCAGAUCUCAAUCUCAUUGAGCACGCCUGGGACCUGUUGGAUCGGAGGGUGAGGGCUAGGGCCAUUCCCCCGAGAAAUGUCCGGGAACUGGCAGGUGCCUUGGUGGAAUAGUGGGGUAACUGGCAAAUCUGGUGCUGUCCAUGAGGAGGGGACGCACUGCAGUACUUAAUGCAGCUGGUGGCCACACCAGAUAAUGACUGUUACUUUUGAUUUUGAACCACCCUUUGUUCAGGGACACAGUAUUCCAUUUUCUGUUCGCCCCAUAUCUGUGGAACUUGUUCACUUGUUCGCUAUGUCUCAGUUGUUGAAUCUUGUUAUGUUCAUACAAAUAUUUACACAUGUUAAGUUUGGAGAAAAUAAACGCAGUUGACAGUGA